CCUACGGGUGGCAGCAGUGAGGAAUAUUGGUCAAUGGUCGGGAGACUGAACCAGCCAAGCCGCGUGAGGGAUGAAGGUACAGAGUAUCGUAAACCUCUUUUGUCAGGGAACAAAGGCGGGGACGCGUCCCCGGAUGAGUGUACCUGAAGAAAAAGCAUCGGCUAACUCCGUGCCAGCAGCCGCGGUAAUCCGGAGGAUGCGAGCGUUAUCCGGUUUUAUUGGGUUUAAGGGGUGGGCAGGCGGUCUGUUAAGUCAGCGGUCAAAGCCCGGGGCUCAACCCCGGCCCGCCGUUGAAACUGGCAGUCUUGAGUUGGAGAGAAGUAUGCGGAAUGCGCGGUGUAGCGGUGAAAUGCGUAGAUAUUGCGCAGAACUCCGAUUGCGAAGGCAGCAUGCUGGCUCCACACUGACGCUGAGGCACGAAAGCGUGGGUAUCGAACAGGAUUAGAUACCCCGGUAGUC
rnacentral:rRNA from 1 species